rnacentral:rRNA from 1 species
ACGUAGGGUGCGAGCGUUGUCCGGAAUUAUUGGGCGUAAAGGGCUCGUAGGCGGUUUGUCACGUCAGGAGUGAAAACUCGGGGCUUAACCCCGAGCCUGCUUCUGAUACGGGCAGACUAGAGGUAUGCAGGGGAGAGCGGAAUUCCUGGUGUAGCGGUGAAAUGCGCAGAUAUCAGGAGGAACACCGGUGGCGAAGGCGGUUCUCUGGGCAUUACCUGACGCUGAGGAGCGAAAGUGUGGGGAGCGAACAGGA